CAUAUUACUAGUUACUGAUGAUGCUAUCUCUAAAUGAUUCUUUCGCGUUCCUUCUGUCUUUGCCGACUGAUUAUUAUUGCUAGAAUAUUUAUUUUUUGUAACUGUAUUUUUCGGGGAAAAAAUGUCGGAAUCAGCAUCACCGAAAAGAUCAUCGAUUGCAGAUUUUGGUUUCGUCGCUGUAAAUACAGGUCUUCUUAUUAAACAUCUUGAAAAGACGCAAAUAUGUAAAUUACAAAGUCUUAUAAGCUACGAGAAACUUACAAACAGUACUAAUUGGAGGCGGCACAUCGAUGCUAGCAGGUUUUUCAGUCUGUCGAACUGUACCUAAUCGCUUGGCUAACUCUUCUGCAAAAUUUGGUGUUAUAUUGUUCGGCAAUGGUAUCUAAAUCAAAGUAUGAAGAUCUUAUAACAUGUAUGUGUAGUGUAAAGAACAUCAUACAAGAGUAUAUAUAUUAAAGAAAAAGGAAAUAGGAACCUUUGAUGUAUUAUCAGCAGGAGUAACUGAAUCAGGUACUGAAUCUAUUUCAUUUUGACUAAGUGCAUCCAUUUUGUCAUUUCCUAUAAUAUAUGUCAUAUCAUUUCUUUUACUGUAAUCCGAUUCAUUCAAAGAAGGUAGUAAUCCAACAAUGUUUGUUUUUGGUGCAGCAUUCAUACUGUAAUCUUUAAAUGCUGCUGUGGUAUCAUCUUCGCUUUCUGAUUCUUCUUCUUCGUCUACUUGUUCAGAUUCACUGCUGCUACUGCUUUCUAGACCAAUUUUAUUUGAAUUUUUCCAUUUUUCUGAGCCAAUGACAUAAGGCAAAGGCCGAUCUUGGUAUGGAUUAUUUGGCCCCAAUACAACGCUGUAAUUAAAUUAUCGAUAUUUUAUUUAUAUAUGUAUAAUAAAAACAAUAAUAAAUAAAAAUAAUCUAGCAAUAAUA
rnacentral:misc_RNA from 1 species